AUAGGGGAUGUUCUUAAGGAGGAGUCGGAGGGGGGGGGGGGGGGGGGGGGGGGGGGGGGGGGGGGGGGGGGGGGGGGGGGGGGGGGGGGGGGGGGGGGGGGGUAUAAAUAUCUCAUUCAUUCAUUCACUUCCUACUCUGAACGCAGUAAGGACCAAAAGGGAGGCAAUGUGGAGAGUCUCAGCGCUCAUCGUGAUUGUUUUCUUUCUGGGUGGAGUAGGCGGUACCGUGAAUUCUAAAGAGUGCAUCCCGGUAAACUGCACGAGCGAUUCCGCCUCACUUACUAUGGAUAAAAGCAUCAUUGACGAACGCAAAGAUUGUGAGCACAGGAUCUACAGUGAGUCGGAUGAUUAUGUGGGUGAUGCUAAUACGUCAGGGGUCUUGAAUCUUUCAUGCGACUUUCAAAAAAGGACCUGGAAGAUCGACUGUCACAACAAGAAGAGAGAUUUUGAGGCCUGUUUCACGAUUGAACGGGACUCUAAAAUAGUUUAUGAAGACAUGCGCAAGAACAAACAUCUCCUUGUUCUGCCGGUGGUGGUGGCUGCUGUUGUUGUUGGGAUCUACUUUUAUAUCCGCUACAGGAAAAAUUAAAGAUGGCAACAGAAACCCAGCUGCUGAAAACCAACACAGUGACUUCCUUUUCCUACUCUUUUCCCUACUCCAUACACUUUUACCACUUGUGGCUGCACUUAGUGACUGCUAUGUGGAUCAUCUUUCAAAUAGCAUCGUGUAUCUCCUAAAAGAGUCCAUAGAUUCCUGUGAUAGCUACAACUGGAUGGUGAAUGUGAGUAUGCAUCUUUUUUCACAUGACAUGAUGAUUUAGUUUGUUUUAGAAAGUUCAGUGAGGUAGUGAAUCUACGGAUGUACAGUAGAUUACACUUGAGUUCCAGCGCAAACAAAAAUACUCCAAAAGGGAUUGGAC
rnacentral:lncRNA from 1 species